rnacentral:rRNA from 1 species
CAUAAUCAUUUGUCCACUAAUUAUGGACUAGUAUGAAAGGCAAAAUGAGGGUUUAACUGUCUCUUAUAGUAAGUCAAUUAAACUGAUCUACCAGUAAAAAAGCUGGAAUAAACACACAAGACCAGAAGACCCUGUGAAGCUUAAACUAAACUAUUAAACCACAUAAUAACUAUUUUCGGUUGGGGCGACCUUGGAAAAUAAAAGAACUUCCAAACUAGUGACAAUCAAUCACCCCCAGGCCAACAAGCCACAUAUGACCCAGCACACCUGAUAAUUGAACCAAGUUACUCCAGGGAUAACAGCGCCAUCUUCUUCAAGAGUCCAUAUCAAAAAGAAGGUUUACGACCUCGAUGUUGGAUCAGGACAUCCUAA